rnacentral:lncRNA from 1 species
GUUCUAAAUUUGGUUAAAAGAGCAGGAAUAUGCUCCCUAAAAUUUAUUUUUUUUAUUCUGGAGGUCGUAGUGUCUCAGCGUGUGGCUUUCCCCAUCCUGCUGGUGUGAAUCGCCACGACCGGGCUUUUCGGUGGCCAGUGAUGGAUUGGGAUGGGUGUUUUGUUUUUUCUUUUUUUCUCUGAAUUGUGGGGUUUCAUUCUGUUUGGAGGGAGGUGUUUGCAGUGGGGACACGUCCCCUCUAGAUGGCAGAAAUGACAGCAGGAAAAGCGCGAGGGGCGGCCGUACGCGUCGAAGCGCAGGACACGGGCCACCACCACCACGGCGCUGGCCUCAGUCCGGUGGGCUCGGGCCACCCCCUGGGACCUGUGCUGCUGUCACCAGAUGGAAAUGCCUGUCCUCUGCCUGCUCAGCCCUCCUGCUGUCACCCCCAGAGCCCCACGGCUGCCAGCCCCCAGCCCAGCCUUCGGCUGUCCCUGCCGGAGAGGACAACGAGGUGACCACCAGGUGCCAACUGCUGCUGCCUCGUGCUGAGACACCCACCCACCAGCACCACCGACAACAGCUCCAGCACCUGCUUUUGCAGGUCCAGGAGACACCAGAAGCAUAAAGAAAGCAGAUGGCACCACUGUGGGUAGAAUAUCUGGGCUCUUUGCUGGUUUUAUUGCUGAAAUCCAACCUG